GAUGAACGCUGGCGGCGUGCCUAAUACAUGCAAGUCGAGCGAACAGACGAGGAGCUUGCUCCUCUGACGUUAGCGGCGGACGGGUGAGUAACACGUGGAUAACCUCCCUAUAAGACUGGGAUAACUUCGGGAAACCGGAGCUAAUCCCGGAUAAUAUAUUGAACCGCAUGGUUCAUUAGUAAAAGACGGUUUUUCUUUCUCUAAUAGAUGGAUCCGCGCCGCAUUAGCUAGUUGGUAAGUUAACGGCUUACCAAGGCGACGAUGCGUAGCCGACCUGAGAGGGUGAUCGGCCACACUGGAACUGAGACACGGUCCAGACUCCUACGGGAGGCAGCAGUAGGGAAUCUUCCGCAAAGGGCGAAAGCCUGACGGAGCAACGCCGCGUGAGUGAUGAAGGUCUUCGGAUCGUAAAACUCUGUUAUUAGGGAAGAACAAAUGUGUAAGUAACUAUGCACGUCUUGACGGUACCUAAUCAGAAAGCCACGGCUAACUACGUG
rnacentral:rRNA from 1 species